AGGACAAACUGCCUGGCAAACCAGCAGGGCCAGGCGAAUGAGGCCAAUUGGCAGCAAGGGCUGGGAUGGAGAUGUCAGAGAUUUAGAGGCUCUCAGGGUUGGAAGGGGGACCUCAAAUUUCAUCUAGGUCAAUGCUCUGUCCCCUUACCUGAGUCCUGUCUAUAAUAUCCCUCCCAAUAGUGGGCUAACCUCAGCUUGAAUGCUCCCAAUGAUGGAGCACUCAUUACCUCCUGGGACCACGAACUCAUCAAUGGGUGGUGCUGACUGUGCAAAAACCCUCCUUCAUUUUGAGCCUAAAUCUGUUUUCCAACAUGAAGAGAGAAGACCCCCGCAGUGAGUUCAUCCUUCUUCUGGCUCCAGCCCUCAGUGCUGCGAAGGAGCCACAAGUCACUAUUCAUGAGGAAACAUGCCCGGUGUCUUGGGUGGAGGCAGAGGCACCACUGAUCCACAAAGAUGUGGUGUGAUUUUUUCCUCUCAGGGGGACUUUGCUUGGGGGAGGGGCCACUGGGAAGAGCCAAGAAGCUGCUAGAAAAAAACUGAAGUCGUUCCUCCUUCUCAAGUGCGAAGUGAACCUGCAGCAGAACAUUAGAAACCCUGAUGCAGGCUAGCUCCGUCUGUGGGGACUGUUACACGCUGGUUCUCUGUUGCCAGCUCCAGGGAGUCAGGGUCUGAGAGGAGCCACCCCAGGUAUUCCACUUAUAGUUAUAGCUCCAAGCAGGGGUCAUCAGCAGGGUGACUGGAACUCCCUGCGGUUCCAGAGAGCCACAGAUGCUCACCCAUGCUGGCUUUGGUAGGCAGGGAGCUCAGUAAGCCUCUCCGAGGCUCAGGAUUUUGCCAGCUUGGAAGAGCACUGGAUUCCAAGCUUGGAAGAGCACUUGGAAGAGCACUGGAUUCCAAGCCAGCUUGGAAGAGCACAGAGUAAGGCAGGCUUCUUACUCUGUCACUUCGGACAAGUCCCUUCCUCUCUCUGGCUGUCAGUUUCCUCUGCUGUGAUAUGUGCUAUGUGUGGACCUUCAGAAAUGGUGCAGGGCUGGGCCCUGCAGCUGCCGAA
rnacentral:lncRNA from 1 species